rnacentral:rRNA from 1 species
GAUGAACGCUGGCGGCGUGCCUAAUACAUGCAAGUCGAGCGAACAGAUAAGGAGCUUGCUCCUUUGACGUUAGCGGCGGACGGGUGAGUAACACGUGGGUAACCUACCUAUAAGACUGGGAUAACUUCGGGAAACCGGAGCUAAUACCGGAUAACAUUUGGAACCGCAUGGUUCUAAAGUGAAAGAUGGUUUUGCUAUCACUUAUAGAUGGACCCGCGCCGUAUUAGCUAGUUGGUAAGGUAACGGCUUACCAAGGCAACGAUACGUAGCCGACCUGAGAGGGUGAUCGGCCACACUGGAACUGAGACACGGUCCAGACUCCUACGGGAGGCAGCAGUAGGGAAUCUUCCGCAAUGGGCGAAAGCCUGACGGAGCAACGCCGCGUGAGUGAUGAAGGGUUUCGGCUCGUAAAACUCUAUUAUUAGGGAAGAACAAACGUGUAAGUAACUGUGCACGUCUUGACGGUACCUAAUCAGAAAGCCACGGCUAACUACGUG